rfam:Cellulophaga phage phi38:1, complete genome.
UGGAGUAUAGCUCAGCGGUUAGAGCACUCCCCUGAUACGGGAGAUGUCGUAGGUUCGAAACCUUCUACUCCAA